rfam:Ictidomys tridecemlineatus contig001120, whole genome shotgun sequence.
GGGAAUGUAGCUCAGUGGUAGAGAGCUUGCUUAGCAUGUCAUGUGCAAGGCUCUGGGUUCAAUCCCCAGCAACACCC